rnacentral:tRNA from 1 species
GCACCCAUAGUUCAAUGGAGAGAAUAGGGGUUUGCGGAACCUCUGAUGGCUGUUCGACUCAGCCUGGGUGCA